AUGCCCCCCAACGGGGGCCUCACAGGGCAUCCACGCACGCCACCAGGCGAGCAAGGGCUGGCCGGUUGCGUCGUCUCGUUUCGAGCCAGCGAUUGGGCCACAUGUCACAGCAGUAUUGGCUCAAGGUAGCAAAAGAGAAAAAGGAUCGAGGAGAGAAAAGCUAGCGACCACACAAACCUUAUCCUCGCUGCGGCCGCCCCUGUCCCUUCUCUCUCCGUUCGUCGCCUCGUCCACCCAGCCAUCCCCGUCGAGCUCCACCUCCUCCCCGUCGAGAUCCACCUCCUCCGCGUCGCCGCCUCGCGCGCCGUCCAUAUUUUCCACCACGUCGCAUAGAAGGUGUAGCUCCCACGGUCAAACCCUAGCCGCCGCCCAAUCCCCUCACGUGCUACGCCCCUGCCCAAUCCCCUUCCUCCUCCUGCCACCAUCCUUCUCCUCCUUCACCUCUCGUCCCUGCCCUUCUCGUCUCCGACCUCGCAGCUCCCAUGGCCGUCGUGGGAGGAGCGGCUGGUGGCCGGCGGGAGCUGCAUCCUGUGCCGCCACCGGAUGAGCGGUUGGUGGCCGACGGGAGCAGUCCGUCGCCGCCGCCAGAGGAGUGGCUGCUGGCCGGCCGGCGCAUCGCAGCCACACCGCCGACGCACGUCGUGCCAUCCCCGGAGGAGCAGCUGGUGGAGCUCAGCCCGUCCUACCCCUCUCCGAUUUGUUUUGCUAGACCGCCUAGCCUCCUCCACCUCUUCAUCGUCACCAAGGAGGCCGGCCAGCAACAGAACAAUGGCCCUCCUCUUGCUGGAGAAACAAUUAUACAGAAGAUUAGGCCCUAAUAUUGAUGGUCUACAGGGCUAGGGUUCUGUACUAAGGAGCUUGUUGGAUGUUUCAGGGCUAGGGUUCUGUACUAAGGAGGAAAUAAGACUAGGUUGCAGCCAGUAGUUGCGAACGGCCGGAGGGCCUCGCCCCUGGUACAGCCACCUUGUUGUCGCGUCGUGCCUCUCCGCUGGGUAUAUGUAUAAUGAAGAGCUAAAGGGUUCUUCAGUUUGCAGUAGGCUGUAGCCUUCAUAACUACAGGGUUAUUUCUAUAUGAUCACAUUGAAGCCAUUACUACCUUCUGCUGCUCUAGGGGGUUGCUUUCUACCGAUGCUUGUUUUUUUCUAUUUCGUAAAUCUGCUAAGAGGCGAUAAAAAUAAUGUUGGUCUGUAGAGCCUACUUUUUCGUUCAACAUAGUUUAAUUGCACUCUCAGUUUCCUGUGUUGAAAGCUAUUGGAACAUACCUCUUAAUUAUCUAUGAUGUAUUGUGAGCCAGUCCCUUUAAAUUGUCUGGUUUCUUUUCUUGAGGUUCGACCAAUAUAUCUAUGCUUACUUCCUUUUUACCUGUCGAGUAGAUGUGGUCAAAAGAUUUAUCUAUUAUUUCAGGUACAACUCCCAUGGGAAGGCAGCGGCAAUGCCUUAUAAUUUUUUAGGUUCCUAAUGGAAUGUUAUCUUUUCCUUGAUUCUGCAAUCCUCAAAGAAAUUACACGAAUUCUGUGUGGUAUAUGGUGUCUAAAGAGAGCCCCAGAGUCGCCCGAGCCAGAGAAAGGUUCACGAGAGACAUGCUGCUUUGGCUUGAGCACAACACAAGGUCUGAUUGAGUUCAAGUGUGAGAGCAGCAGUAAAAAUAAUUGGGUUCGUGGUGUACAAAAUCUGCCCCAGCAGGUUGAUGUAACUGAUCAGUAAGUUAUAGAACUGAGGAGCCACAAUAUCCCAACAAGUCUUAGGAAAACAACAGUUAAAGCCAUCAGGACCUGGAGCUUUGUCACUAGGUCCUCUGCCACCGGACCUUCUACCCAAGGCGCUAGGGUUUCAGGUGGCAAAAGUGGCAGGAUUUUCUGGCUGGCCGGGGGCCACGGCGGACCCGUAGGAGAUGGAAGGGCGACGUCCAAGGAUGCAAGCGGCGCUGGUGAUGGAGGAUCUCCAAAAUGUCUUAUAUUUUACGCUUGCGGUGGAAUUUGAUUCAGAGUGGAGAUGAUGUGUUGAUAGGUUCAGAAAGAUGAAGAAUCGUUCCUCUUCGCAGGUUAAUUUUGUGCUUUAUUCUUCCAAAGUUUUACUUUCUUGCAAAAUAUCAAUUACCUUCAGUUUUAUAUUGCUCUUCUGGUUGGUUCACACUGAAUUUCUCUGUUCUUUAUUCCGCAACCGUGAUGAUUGAAUGCAUGAGCUCGUGGUUCAGCUAUCCUGCCAAUUUCUCUAAGGUGAAUGAUAGAAAGUUAGUUAUUUUCCUUCCUGGGAUUAUAUAAUAUAUGUAUGAACUGUACUCUGUGGUCAUUCAUGCUUGGUCAUUCAUGCUUACAGUUGCGUUGAAGCCAUCUACCUGAGAUCUCAUGUAUGUAUAUAGGACCUCAUUACUAUUUAAUAUUAUAUAUCCCUAUAUUCUCUACAUCUUGCCGACUACUUAAAACACUCAUAGAUCUCAUGUAUGUAUAUAGGACCUCAUUACUAUUUAAUAUUAUAUAUCUCUAUAUUCUCUACAUCUUGCCGACUACUUAAAACACUCAUAGAUGUAAUGGCUUUUGUUGACUAAGCUUUCUUGUACAUUGGGUUUGUACUGUAAGAGAUGGUGUAUUCCCUCUGUCCAAAAUUACAUGACACAACUUAGUCUACACAGGAUGGAGGAAAUGCUAAUGAUGGUACACAUAGCACUUCACCCAUCGAUUUCCAAUGCGAAAGAGCGGUGGUAAUUAUAUUGAAGCUGCACUUGAUGUACUGGCUAUGUUGUGUUCUUUUCUUCUCUUCAUAGCUGAUACUUCUGCUAUUUAUACGGUUAAAUUAAAAACCUAGGUGUUUAUUCUUCAUUUUCUGUUUGCUCAUAUUGUUUUUUACAGAUGGUUAAACGUAUUCCCCUUUAGCUAUGGUUCUUUUUGCUGCUAUUAUAUAAGAUCUCUAUUAUGUAAGUUGUAGAUCGGUUCGAGUCCCACUGAAUCAUGCGCUAAGUGUAAACUAUGAUUCCUAAAUAUAAUUAGCUUAUGAUGAAGUGUAUUAUAAAAUGAUUAUAUGUGCGAAAGACCGGGGUAUCAUUCCUCAUCACCGGGAUUCAACUAUGUGCAUACAUUUCAUUCUUCUUUGCCGAGUGCUUGGACUUCUAUGAGUUGAUCUUCUGAGUUGAUUUAUUAGUACCUCUUCUUUAUGGUAAAAUUAACUAGCCUGAAAUAUGCAUCUAGAGUUUUAUGUAAAUCUUACUAAUCUUACUAAUCUUGAUUUCUAUUUUUGUCGAUGUAAUGCAUAGUAGUGUUAUUUGUAUUGGGAUAUUCAAUUUUCAUGCCAUUUUUCAGAACCCUAGGACUAUCCACCUUACUAAUUUUUUGAUACACAUGUUCUCUACACCUUAAUAAAUUUUUGAUACACCUGUGCUCUACAGUAUAAAAUAUUUAACCUGUUGAGUACAUUAUGGGUACAAUGUUUUGGGGUGUUUUUAGCUUAUUUUUGUAUGUAAAUGGCCCUGUGGUAUUUUCACAGUUUUGAUUUUUAUUUGCAUGCUUACAUUCUUCAGUUUUUUAUUUGCGGAUUUUAGUCGUCCUCUGCAAUAAUUCCCUGGAGGUGAAGGGCUACUUUCCUCCCCCAUUUCAUGGUCUAACCAAGAGGUUUAUUCAGCUCAGUGUCUUGUUCUCUUGCCAAUUUUACUGUCAAACCAAACUGGUAAAUGCAUGCUUGUCUCAAAUGCUCAUACUCAACUAACUCUGUAUGCAGAAAAGAAAAGAAAUUCAGCUGCAAAUGGCAUGUCUUGAAACCAAACAGAAGUGUUGCUCAAUUCCGUGUAGAUGCUCCUACAAUGGCGGUGUGAAGAGGAGAAAGAAUGAAGUGGUACAUGGCAGCAGCGGCGGGACAAGUUGUGUAAGAUAAUUGAUACCUUCACAUGGCCAUCCUAAUGCCUCGGUAAAAAAAUGUACAUACAAUUCAGUUUUCCUACUCAAAUUUCUUAGUACGGUGUCAUCCAAAUGGCAAUAACUACGUUUUCUAUCUUUGAGUUAUACAGGAUAUGAGCGCGCGUGUAGUCAUCAUUGAUGUGAGAUUUUUUAGUUCUUUUAUUCAGACUCAUUGGUCCAUGCGAUUUACGACUUCUUUCAAACUAUAUAACAUGCUUCCUUUUUCUUCUGUAUAUGCACAUAUCAUUAUUUGAUUGAGCCCCACUUUUGGAUUGGUGACAGCAAGUCAUUGUCUCAUCAUAAUUCAGUUUGAUGUUUCAUGUUCUCAUUAAGAAACUACUUGCAUUCACAUGCACUGUAUUUUGUUCAAAUUUAUCUUUUGACUACUCAAUCUUUGUUUUGGGUCCUCCUGGAUGAUUCUAAUGUUGGUUAUGGGGGGCAUGCUGAACUGAUGGCUUUUUCCUAUUAGAAAAUCCUUCAUUAGGCAACACGUCCUGAGUGACCUUUAUAGUCCUCUCAACUGACCAGCCUUCAUGAUUCAGGUAAAGAAAGGUGAAUGGUGUUGAGGAUGAGAAACUGUAGCAUUUGUCGAGGGUUUCAAUGAAGAAAUCUUGAGAUUUGACUUAGAUGAUGAGCGGCCGAUCACUCUGUGAAAUUUCUGAAGUUUCAAGAAAACAUGAGAUUUGUAAUGUUUCAGUAGUUGAGAUGUUUGGUAUUUAGUUCGUGCAUAUUGGUUCACUAUUCAUGUAAAAUCUACCGUAGCUUGGACAAUGAGUUUCUAGCCUGGUUGUUUGUUAGCCUCAUGGCUGAUGGUGAGCUUGUGAGGUUGUAAUCAAACAUUAUAGCUUCAUUCGGCACAUACAUGCUACCGUGGUUUCUACACUCCUUUCAUUUUGAUCUGUUGGUGUGAAAAAAAGGUCGUGCCAGUCCUUAUUUGUUGCUUUGCUUGGUUCUGUACCCCAAGCUGUACUCCAAAUUUCCCCUUUUGCCAAACAAUGCAAUAUGCCAUUUGUUUUACUGCCUA